GUGGCAGUGACGGUUAACGGGGGAUUAGGGUUCGAUUCCGGAGAGGGAGCCUGAGAAACGGCUACCACAUCUAAGGAAGGCAGCAGGCGCGCAAAUUACCCAAUUCUAACAGCAUAAGAGAGGUAGUGACAAGAAAUAACAAUACAAGGUAAUUAAAUUGCUUUGUAAUUGGAAUGAUAGAAAUUUAAACACUUUUUAAAGUAUCAAUUGGAGGGCAAGUCUGGUGCCAGCAGCCGCGGUAAUUCCAGCUCCAAUAGCGUAUAUUAAAAUUGUUGCAGUUAAAAAGCUCGUAGUUGAAUUUCUGUUAAAAAUAACCGGUCUGCUUUUAUUAAAAGUGGUAUCUUGGUGUGUUUUUAGCAAUAAUGUCCUUUGAAAUGUUUUUUACUUUAUUGUAAUAAGUCAUUAUUUUGAGGAUUUUUACUUUGAGAAAAUUAGAGUGUUUCUAGCAGGCUUA
rnacentral:rRNA from 1 species